CUUUCUCCGCCGGCGACCGGCGCACGGGGUGAGUAACACGUAUGCAACCUGCCCCUGUCAGGGGGACAACCCGCCGAAAGGCGGGCUAAACCCGCGUACAUGCCACCGGGGCAUCCCGGAGGCAGGAAAGGCUUCGGCCGGACAGGGAUGGGCAUGCGGCGCAUUAGGCAGUAGGCGGGGUAACGGCCCACCUAACCGACGAUGCGUAGGGGUUCUGAGAGGAAGGUCCCCCACACUGGUACUGAGACACGGACCAGACUCCUACGGGAGGCAGCAG
rnacentral:rRNA from 1 species